UGAGGAAUAUUGGUCAAUGGGCGGGAGCCUGAACCAGCCAAGCCGCGUGAGGGAAUAAGGCCCUACGGUCGUAAACCUCUUUUGUCGGGGAACAAAAGCGGGGACGCGUCCCCGUCUGCGUGUACCCGAAGAAAAGCAUCGGCUAACUCCGUGCCAGCAGCCGCGGUAAUACGGAGGAUGCGAGCGUUAUCCGGAUUUAUUGGGUUUAAAGGGUGCGUAGGCGGUCCGGAAAGUCAGCGGUAAAACUUCGGGGCUCAACCCCGUUUAGCGUUGAAACUGUCGGACUAGAGAGGAAGAGAAGCAGGCGGAAUGCGCGGUGUAGCGGUGAAAUGCGUAGAUAUUCGGAGGAACACCGGUGGCGAAGGCGGCCAACUGGGCUUUAACUGACGCUGAGGCUCGAAAGUGUGGGGAGCAAACAGGAUUAGAUACC
rnacentral:rRNA from 1 species